rnacentral:rRNA from 1 species
UGCCAGCAGCCCCGGUAAUACGCAGGCGGGGAGCGUCGUUCGGAAUUACUGGGCGUAAAGCGCGCGUAGGCGGAUUGGAAAGUUAGGGGUGAAAUCCCAGGGCUCAACCCUGGAACUGCCUCUAAAACUCCCAGUCUUGAGUUCGAGAGAGGUGAGUGGAAUUCCGAGUGUAGAGGUGAAAUUCGUAGAUAUUCGGAGGAACACCAGUGGCGAAGGCGGCUCACUGGCUCGAUACUGACGCUGAGGUGCGAAAGCGUGGGGAGCAAACAGGAUUAGAUA